GUCUAGCUGACUGCCUCAAUUAAUAUUUUUGUUCAGUAUUUACAGAUGAAAAUGAAGGAAACGGACCUCAGUUAGGAAAAAGGUCAAAUGAGUAAUUUGUUACAUGUGAGUUUACAGAGGAAGAGGUUCUAUUUCAACUGUCAAAAGUAAAGACAAAUAAGUCAAUGGGACCUGAUGGAAUACACCAAACGUUAUUAAAAGAGCCUAGGGGUGUACUAGCAAAACCAUUAACAGAU